GUGCUCGCUUCGGCAGCACAUAUACAAAAUUGGAACGAUACAGAGAUUAGCAUGGCCCCUGUGCAAGGAUGACACGCAAAUUCGUGAAGCGUUCCAUAUUUUU
ensembl:snRNA U6 U6 spliceosomal RNA